rnacentral:rRNA from 1 species
GACGAACGCUGGCGGCGUGCCUAAUACAUGCAAGUAGAACGCUGAAGGAGGAGCUUGCUCUUCUGGAUGAGUUGCGAACGGGUGAGUAACGCGUAGGUAACCUGCCUGGUAGCGGGGGAUAACUAUUGGAAACGAUAGCUAAUACCGCAUAACAGUAGAUGUUGCAUGACAUUUACUUAAAAGGUGCAAUUGCAUCACUACCAGAUGGACCUGCGUUGUAUUAGCUAGUUGGUGGGGUAACGGCUCACCAAGGCGACGAUACAUAGCCGACCUGAGAGGGUGGUCGGCCACACUGGGACUGAGACACGGCCCAGACUCCUACGGGAGGCAGCAGUAGGGAAUCUUCGGCAAUGGACGGAAGUCUGACCGAGCAACGCCGCGUGAGUGAAGAAGGUUUUCGGAUCGUAAAGCUCUGUUGUAAGAGAAGAAAGAGUGUGAGAGUGGAAAGUUCACACUGUGACGGUACCUUACCAGAAAGGGACGGCUAACUACGUG